GAGUUUGAUCCUGGCUCAGAUUGAACGCUGGCGGCACGCCUUACACAUGCAAGUCGAGCGGUCAAAAUGAGGGAGCUUGCUCCCGAAAGACGAGCGGCGGACGGGUGAGUAACGCGCGGGAACGCGCCCUUUGGCGGGGGACAACCUUGGGAAACCAGGGCUAAUACCGCAUAAUCUCUACGGAGUAAAGCGGGGGAUCUUCGGACCUCGCGCCAUUGGAGCGGCCCGUGUCCGAUUAGUUUGACGGCGGGGUAACAGCCCACCGUGGCUACAAUCGGUAGCUGGUCUGAGAGGAUGAUCAGCCACACCGGGACUGAGACACGGCCCGGACUCCUACGGGAGGCAGCAGUGGGGAAUAUUGGACAAUGGGGGCAACCCUGAUCCAGCGAUGCCGCGUGUGUGAAGAAGGCCUUCGGGUUGUAAAGCACUUUCGCGGGGGAAGAAACUUCGCGCUCUAACAUAGCGCGGCACUGACGGUACCCCGAGAAGAAGCGCCGGCUAACUCCGUGCCAGCAGCCGCGGUAAUACGGAGGGCGCAAGCGUUAAUCGGAAUGACUGGGCGUAAAGCGUGCGCAGGCGGCCGCGGAAGUCNGGAUGUGAAG
rnacentral:rRNA from 1 species